UACGUAGGGAGCAAGCGUUGUCCGGAAUCAUUGGGCGUAAAGAGCGUGUAGGCGGCUCGGUAAGUCCGCUGUGAAAGUCCAGGGCUCAACCCUGGAAUGCCGGUGGAAACUGUCGAGCUAGAGUCCGGAAGAGGCGAGUGGAAUUCCUGGUGUAGCGGUGAAAUGCGCAGAUAUCAGGAGGAACACCAAUGGCGAAGGCAGCUCGCUGGGACGGUACUGACGCUGAGACGCGAAAGCGUGGGGAGCAAACAGG
rnacentral:rRNA from 1 species